rnacentral:rRNA from 1 species
GUCGAACGCUGGCGGCGUGCUUAACACAUGCAAGUCGAACAGUGGCGAACGGGUGAGUAACACGUGAGUAACCUGCCCUCCCCUUUGGGAUAACUCCGAGAAAUCGGGGCUAAUACUGGAUCGUGGGGGAUGGGCUCGCGGCCUAUCAGUUUGUUGGUGAGGUAGUGGUCACCAAGGCGGGACGGGUAGCCGGCCUGAGAGGGCGACCGGCCACAGUGUGACUGGGACACGGCCCAGACGCAUACGGGAGGCAGCAGUGGGAAAUAUUGCACAAUGGGCGAAAGCCUGAUGCAGCGACGCCGCGUGGGGGAGGACGGCCAUCGGGUUGUAAACCUCUUACAGCAAGGAAGCGGAACUGGCAGAAGAAGCGCCGGCUAACUACGUGCCAGCAGCCGGGUAAUAC